rnacentral:rRNA from 1 species
GCGUAGGAAUCUGCCCAUUAGUGGGGGAUAGCCCGGGGAAACCCGGAUUAAUACCGCAUACGCCCUACGGGGGAAAGCAGGGGAUCUUCGGACCUUGCGCUAUUGGAUGAGCCUGCGUCGGAUUAGCUAGUUGGUGGGGUAAAGGCCCACCAAGGCGACGAUCCGUAGCUGGUCUGAGAGGAUGAUCAGCCACACCGGGACGUGAGACACGGCCCGGACUCCCACGGGAGGCAGCGGUGGGGAAGUAUUGGACAAUGGGGGCGAACCCUGAUCCAGCCAUGCCGCGUGUGUGGAGAAGGC